rnacentral:rRNA from 1 species
UGUAACUUCUUUUUAUGGGAAUGACCUGUCCACGUGUGGCUUUUCGUCUGUCCCAUGAAUAAGGAUCGGUUAUCCCCGUGCCGCCGUCGCCGUAAUGUCGAGGAUCCAAGCGUUAUCCGGAUUUAUUGGGUUUAAAGGGAGGGUAGGCGGAUUAGAAGUCAGGUGUGAAAGUUUGCGG